UCCGGUUUGUCACCGGCAGUCACCUUAGAGUGCCCAACUAAAUGCUGGCAACUAAGAUCAAGGGUUGCGCUCGUUGCGGGACUUAACCCAACAUCUCACGACACGAGCUGACGACAACCAUGCACCACCUGUCACUUUUGUCCCCGAAGGGAAAGCCCUAUCUCUAGGGAUGGCAAAAGGAUGUCAAGACCUGGUAAGGUUCUUCGCGUUGCUUCGAAUUAAACCACAUGCUCCACCGCUUGUGCGGGCCCCCGUCAAUUCCUUUGAGUUUCAACCUUGCGGUCGUACUCCCCAGGCGGGGUACUUCCUGCGUUAGCGCCGGCACCCAGAGGGUCGCUCCCCCAGGCACCUAGUACCCAUCGUUUACGGCGUGGACUAC
rnacentral:misc_RNA from 1 species